UACGUAGGUGGCGAGCGUUGUCCGGAUUUACUGGGCGUAAAGAGCGCGCAGGCGGCUGGUCAAGUCCGAUGUGAAAGCUCCCGGCUUAACUGGGAAAUUGCAUCGGAAACUGAUCGGCUGGAAGGUGGAGAGGUAGCGGAAUUCCCGGUGUAGUGGUGAAAUGCGUAGAUAUCGGAGGAACACCAGUGGCGAAAGCGGCUGACCUGCCCAUUCGUUG
rnacentral:rRNA from 1 species